GUGCUCACUUUGGCAGCACAUAUACUAAAAUUGGAAUGAUACAUGAAAGAUUACCAUGGCCACUGCACAAGAAUGACACACAUAUUCGUCAAGUAUUCCAUAUUUUU